GGUUAAGCGACUAAGCGUACACGGUGGAUGCCCUGGCAGUCAGAGGCGAUGAAGGACGUGCUAAUCUGCGAAAAGCGUCGGUAAGGUGAUAUGAACCGUUAUAGCCGGCGAUGUCCGAAUGGGGAAACCCAGUGCAAUUCGUUGCACUAUCGUUUGAUGAAUACAUAGUCAAACGAGGCGAACCGGGGGAACUGAAACAUCUAAGUACCCCGAGGAAAAGAAAUCAACCGAGAUUCCCCCAGUAGCGGCGAGCGAACGGGGAGCAGCCCGGAGUCUGAAUCAGCUUGUGUGUUAGUGGAAGCGUCUGGAAAGUCGCAGGGUACAGGGUGAUACUCCCGUACACUAAAGCACACAGGUUGUGAACUCGAAGAGUAGGGCGGGACACGUGGUAUCCUGUCUGAAUAUGGGGGGACCAUCCUCCAAGGCUAAAUACUCCUGACUGACCGAUAGUGAACCAGUACCGUGAGGGAAAGGCGAAAAGAACCCCGGCGAGGGGAGUGAAAAAGAACCUGAAACCGUGUACGUACAAGCAGUAGGAGCCUCUUUAUGGGGUGACUGCGUACCUUUUGUAUAAUGGGUCAGCGACUUAUAUUCUGUAGCAAGGUUAACCGUAUAGGGGAGCCGCAGGGAAACCGAGUCUUAACUGGGCGUUAAGUUGCAGGGUAUAGACCCGAAACCCGGUGAUCUAGCCAUGGGCAGGUUGAAGGUUGGGUAACACUAACUGGAGGACCGAACCGACUAAUGUUGAAAAAUUAGCGGAUGACUUGUGGCUGGGGGUGAAAGGCCAAUCAAACCGGGAGAUAGCUGGUUCUCCCCGAAAGCUAUUUAGGUAGCGCCUCGUGAACUCAUCUUCGGGGGUAGAGCACUGUUUCGGCUAGGGGGUCAUCCCGACUUACCAACCCGAUGCAAACUACGAAUACCGAAGAAUGUUAUCACGGGAGACACACGGCGGGUGCUAACGUCCGUCGUGAAGAGGGAAACAACCCAGACCGCCAGCUAAGGUCCCAAAGUCAUGGUUAAGUGGGAAACGAUGUGGGAAGGCCCAGACAGCCAGGAUGUUGGCUUAGAAGCAGCCAUCAUUUAAAGAAAGCGUAAUAGCUCACUGGUCGAGUCGGCCUGCGCGGAAGAUGUAACGGGGCUAAACCAUGCACCGAAGCUGCGGCAGCGACACUAUGUGUUGUUGGGUAGGGGAGCGUUCUGUAAGCCGUUGAAGGUGGCCUGUGAGGGUUGCUGGAGGUAUCAGAAGUGCGAAUGCUGACAUAAGUAACGAUAAUGCGGGUGAAAAACCCGCACGCCGGAAGACCAAGGGUUCCUGUCCAACGUUAAUCGGGGCAGGGUGAGUCGACCCCUAAGGCGAGGCCGAAAGGCGUAGUCGAUGGGAAACAGGUUAAUAUUCCUGUACUCGGUGUUACUGCGAAGGGGGGACGGAGAAGGCUAUGUUGGCCGGGCGACGGUUGUCCCGGUUUAAGCAUGUAGGCGGAUGUUCCAGGUAAAUCCGGAACGUUACUAACGCUGAGGUGUGAUGACGAGGCACUACGGUGCUGAAGUGACAAAUGCCCUGCUUCCAGGAAAAGCCUCUAAGCAUCAGGUAACAUCAAAUCGUACCCCAAACCGACACAGGUGGUCAGGUAGAGAAUACCAAGGCGCUUGAGAGAACUCGGGUGAAGGAACUAGGCAAAAUGGUGCCGUAACUUCGGGAGAAGGCACGCUGAUAUGUAGGUGAAGUGGUUUACCCAUGGAGCUGAAAUCAGUCGAAGAUACCAGCUGGCUGCAACUGUUUAUUAAAAACACAGCACUGUGCAAACACGAAAGUGGACGUAUACGGUGUGACGCCUGCCCGGUGCCGGAAGGUUAAUUGAUGGGGUUAUCCGUAAGGAGAAGCUCUUGAUCGAAGCCCCGGUAAACGGCGGCCGUAACUAUAACGGUCCUAAGGUAGCGAAAUUCCUUGUCGGGUAAGUUCCGACCUGCACGAAUGGCGUAAUGAUGGCCAGGCUGUCUCCACCCGAGACUCAGUGAAAUUGAACUCGCUGUGAAGAUGCAGUGUACCCGCGGCAAGACGGAAAGACCCCGUGAACCUUUACUAUAGCUUGACACUGAACACUGGUCCUUGAUGUGUAGGAUAGGUGGGAGGCUUUGAAGUGUGGACGCCAGUCUGCAUGGAGCCAUCCUUGAAAUACCACCCUUUAAUGGCUGGUGUUCUAACGUGGGCCCGUUAUCCGGGUUGCGGACAGUGUCUGGUGGGUAGUUUGACUGGGGCGGUCUCCUCCUAAAGAGUAACGGAGGAGCACGAAGGUCAGCUAAUCCUGGUCGGACAUCAGGAGGUUAGUGCAAUGGCAUAAGCUGGCUUGACUGCGAGCGUGACGGCGCGAGCAGGUGCGAAAGCAGGUCAUAGUGAUCCGGUGGUUCUGAAUGGAAGGGCCAUCGCUCAACGGAUAAAAGGUACUCCGGGGAUAACAGGCUGAUACCGCCCAAGAGUUCAUAUCGACGGCGGUGUUUGGCACCUCGAUGUCGGCUCAUCACAUCCUGGGGCUGAAGUAGGUCCCAAGGGUAUGGCUGUUCGCCAUUUAAAGUGGUACGCGAGCUGGGUUUAGAACGUCGUGAGACAGUUCGGUCCCUAUCUGCCGUGGGCGCUGGAGAAUUGAGGGGGGCUGCUCCUAGUACGAGAGGACCGGAGUGGACGCAUCACUGGUGUUCGGGUUGUCAUGCCAAUGGCAUUGCCCGGUAGCUAAAUGCGGAAGAGAUAAGUGCUGAAAGCAUCUAAGCACGAAACUUGCCCCGAGAUGAGUUCUCCCUGACUCCUUGAGAGUCCUGAAGGAACGUUGAAGACGACGACGUUGAUAGGCCGGGUGUGUAAGCGCAGCGAUGCGUUGAGCUAACCGGUACUAAUGAACCGUGAGGCUUAACCUU
rnacentral:rRNA from 1 species